GAUGAACGCUGGCGGCGUGCCUAAUACAUGCAAGUCGAGCGAACAGACGAUGAGCUUGCUCCUCUAACGUUAGCGGCGGACGGGUGAGUAACACGUGCAUCACCUACCUAUAAGACUGGGAUAACUUCGGGAAACCGCAGAUAAUACCGGAUAACAUGUUGAACCACAUUGUUCAACAGUGAAAGACGGUCUUGCUGUCUCUUAUAGAUGGAUCCGCGCCGCAUUAGCUAGUUGGUAAGGUAACAGCUUACCAAGGCUACGAUGCGUAGCCGACCUGAGAGGUUGAUAGGCCAAAUUGGAACUGAGACACGUUCCAGACUCCUACGGGAGGCAGCAGUAGGGAAUAUUGGGCAAUGGGCGCAAGCCUGACGCAGCAACGCCGCGUGAGUGAAGAAGGUCUUCGGAUCGUAAAACUCUGUUGUUGGGGAAGAACAGAUGUGUAAGUAACUAUGCACGUCUUGACGGUACCUAAUGAGAAAGCCACGGCUAACUACGUG
rnacentral:rRNA from 1 species